GAUGAAGAACGUAGUGAAAUGCGAUAAGUAAUGUGAAUUGCAGAAUUCAGUGAAUCAUCGAGUCUUUGAACGCACAUUGCGCCCCCUGGUAUUCCGGGGGGCAUGCCUGUCCGAGCGUCAUUGCUGCCCUCAAGCACGGCUUGUGUGUUGGGCCCCGCCCCCCGGCUCCCGGGGGGCGGGCCCGAAAGGCAGCGGCGGCACCGCGUCCGGUCCUCGAGCGUAUGGGGCUUCGUCACCCGCUCCGUAGGCCCGGCCGGCGCCCGCCGGCGACCCCCCUCAAUCUUUUCAGGUUGACCUCGGAUCAGGUAGGGAUACCCGCUGAACUUAAGCAUAUCAAUAAGCGGAGA
rnacentral:misc_RNA from 1 species